GGCAACCCUGGUGGCGAGUGGCGAACGGGUGAGUAAUACAUCGGAACGUGCCCAGUCGUGGGGGAUAACGCAGCGAAAGCUGUGCUAAUACCGCAUACGAUCUACGGAUGAAAGCGGGGGAUCGCAAGACCUCGCGCGAUUGGAGCGGCCGAUGGCAGAUUAGGUAGUUGGUGGGGUAAGGGCCUACCAAGCCUGCGAUCUGUAGCUGGUCUGAGAGGACGACCAGCCACACUGGGACUGAGACACGGCCCAGACUCCUACGGGAGGCAGCAGUGGGGAAUUUUGGACAAUGGGCGCAAGCCUGAUCCAGCCAUUCCGCGUGCAGGAUGAAGGCCUUCGGGUUGUAAACUGCUUUUGUACGGAACGAAAAGGCUCUCUCUAAUACAGGGGGCUCAUGACGGUACCGUAAGAAUAAGCACCGGCUAACUACGUGCCAGCAGCCGCGGUAAUACGUAGGGUGCAAGCGUUAAUCGGAAUUACUGGGCGUAAAGCGUGCGCAGGCGGUGAUGUAAGACAG
rnacentral:rRNA from 1 species